rnacentral:rRNA from 1 species
CUCCAAAGCCAUAUCACCCAGCAGCCCAAGACCGGUUACUCACUGAAGCUAAGCAAGCCUGAGCCUGGUCAGUACCUGGAUGGGAGACCACAUGGGAAAACUAAGUUACUGGAAG